AUUGAACGCUGGCGGCAGGCCUAACACAUGCAAGUCGAGCGGAUGAAGGGAGCUUGCUCCUGGAUUCAGCGGCGGACGGGUGAGUAAUGCCUAGGAAUCUGCCUGGUGGUGGGGGAUAACGUCCGGAAACGGGCGCUAAUACCGCAUACGUCCUGAGGGAGAAAGUGGGGGAUCUUCGGACCUCACGCUAUCAGAUGAGCCUAGGUCGGAUUAGCUAGUUGGUGGGGUAAAGGCCUACCAAGGCGACGAUCCGUAACUGGUCUUAGAGGAUGAUCAGUCACACUGGAACUGAGACACGGUCCAGACUCCUACGGGAGGCAGCAGUGGGGAAUAUUGGACAAUGGGCGAAAGCCUGAUCCAGCCAUGCCGCGUGUGUGAAGAAGGUCUUCGGAUUGUAAAGCACUUUAAGUUGGGAGGAAGGGCAGUAAGUUAAUACCUUGCUGUUUUGACGUUACCAACAGAAUAAGCACCGGCUAACUUCGUG
rnacentral:rRNA from 1 species